UGCUGUUAAGCCAGGAAGCACAGGGAGCCAUCUACGGAAUAGGAGGCGGAGAUGGAGGCAGGGCAGGAUGGGCAGCUUGAGGAGUUUUCUGGAAGAUCCAAGUCUGGGCUUGUACAUCACCUCAUCUGAGAUUAUUGUAUGAGGAUUCCCCUCCAUGAGGUUUCCAUGGGCAAUAGCUUGGGGGAGACACUGUAAGGAGUCAGGCCAUCUGUAGCUGCAAAUUUGCAAAGUGACAGUGGAAUGAUUCGGUGAAUCCUUCCAUCCACUUCAGUGGAAAUUGAUGCUUGAGUCUGCUCUACAUCACUGCCACCUCCCUGCUCGAACACUGCAAGGGGAGUCUGUGCGACAUACCGAAACUGAGGAAACCACAUCCCCGCUAGGGAGCGUUUUGAGAAAAACAGCGUGGCCAUCAUUCAGCAGUUUUUCUUGUGCUGAAAAGCCGACUAUUUCCUCUACGUUGCUGAAGCCAGCAACAAAGCCUGGAUGGUUGCUUGUAUGAUGAAAGCAUCUGGCUGGAACACAGCACAACGCUCCACCGACCCUGCUUCCUGAAUAUGCAGAUUUCUUUUUUCGCAUCUCUUUGUCCAUCUGGAAAAUAAAAUGUAGUUUUCCUUUC